AAGACUUUAAGUUAAAUCAAACUAAUAUCCUUCAAAGUUAUAAAUAGAGAAAAUAUUAUCUUUAAGUCUUA
rnacentral:tRNA from 1 species